rnacentral:rRNA from 1 species
CGGUAAUACGUAGGGUGCGAGCGUUAAUCGGAAUUACUGGGCGUAAAGCGUGCGCAGACGGAUAUUUAAGUCAGACGUGAAAUCCCCGAGCUUAACUUGGGAAUGGCGUUUGAAACUGGCUAUCUAGAGUGCGUCAGAGGGGGGUGGAAUUCCACGUGUAGCAGUGAAAUGCGUAGAGAUGUGGAGGAACACCGAUGGCGAAGGCAGCCCCCUGGGAUGACACUGACGCUCAUGCACGAAAGCGUGGGGAGCAAACAGGAUUAGAUACCCUGGUAGUCCACGCCCUAAACGAUGUCAACUGGCUGUUGGGUGCGAGAGUACUCAGUAGCGAAGCUAACGCGUGAAGUUGACCGCCUGGGGAGUACGGCCGCAAGGUUGAA